GGUGAACCUGCGGAGGGAUCAUUACCGAGUUCAUGCCCUUACGGGUAGACCUCCCACCCUAUGUUAUAUUACCUUUGUUGCUUUGGCGGGCCGCCCGGCUUCGGCCAGGCUACCGGCUCCAGCUGGUAAGCGCUCGCCAGAGGACCCUCAACUCUGAAUAUCAGUGUCGUCCGAGUACUAUAAAAUAGUUAAAACUUUCAACAACGGAUCUCUUGGUUCUGGCAUCGAUGAAGAACGCAGCGAAAUGCGAUAAGUAAUGUGAAUUGCAGAAUUCAGUGAAUCAUCGAAUCUUUGAACGCACAUUGCGCCCCUUGGUAUUCCGAGGGGCAUGCCUGUUCGAGCGUCAUUACAACCCUCAAGCACUGCUUGGUAUUGGGCUCCGCUGGCUCCAGCGGGCCUUAAAAUCAGUGGCGGCGCCGUUUGGGCUCUGAGCGUAGUAAAUAUCCUCGCUAUAGAGACCAGGCGGUUCUUGUCAUCAACCCCCAACUUUCUAAGUUUGACCUCGGAUCAGGUAGGGAUACCCGCUGAACUUAAGCAUAUCAAAAGGCCGGAGGAA
rnacentral:rRNA from 1 species